rnacentral:misc_RNA from 1 species
AUUGUCAAUCCCCAAGAGUUGGGCGUGCAAGGAAGGCUAGGCAGGCCAAGGCAAGUGAAACAAUUCAGUAAUGCCUUGCCGGAAUUCUCUAGAAGGUUGGAGAAGUGCCUAGGACAUGCUGGACACUUGGGGGAAAUUUUUGCUGGCCAAAGUAGUGAGACAAGGCUGCUGGAACGUUCCGGAAUGGUGGGGAAAAUUCUGGGGCGUGCUGGUGGGUGCUGGAGCAUUCAGCAUGCUAGAAUUGGCUAGAAGGAGCUGCUGUAAGGUGCUAGGAAGCUUCCCUUGGACUGACAAAUUGUUGGCAAAUUCUAGAAUUGCCUACAAGGUGCUGGUUACCUACACCAAGUGCUGGAUAACUCUAGACUCUUUCUUAGUGGGCUGUAUGCCUAAGUAAUUGUUGGAGAUGUAUAAAAAAUUCUAGAGAUUUGCUGUACACUACAUGUUUGAGACAAGUUCUCCACUACACAUUUGAGGAGGCGAAUUGCCUAUAAAUAGGGAUGGCUAGAACUUAGAAUGUGUAGUGUGAGAGCGAGUCCUUAAGAGCUCUUUUGUACAACAUUCUACUUGUAAAACUAUUCUUUAU